rnacentral:tmRNA from 1 species
GGGGCUGCAUUGGUUUCGACGUGGGUUGGAAUCGUAGCGGUGCAUGUCGAGCUGAAUGCGCUCGUAAAACAGAUUCAAACAAACUAACUGCAAACGACGAACGUUUCGCACUCGCUGCUUAAACACCAGUGAGCUUUACAACAGCAGGCCGAUGGGCUGGGCAAGGGUGGCGCAAGCUGUCCAGGCUGUAAAGUUAUUCACAUCGGCUGGCUCCGCGUCGGGUACCUUGACAUGGAGCGAGACAAUAGGGUGCUGGCGUCCGGUGUAGCGUGCGACUGCGCGACCCCGGUGGCGAGACUCAAAUCAGACCGCUAAACAUGUAGAUCUGUGCGAGGAAGGUUUGCGGACGGGGGUUCAAAUCCCCCCAGCUCCACCA